GACGAACGCUGGCGGCGUGCUUAACACAUGCAAGUCGAACGAGACGAUCGAAAGCUUGCUUUUAAAAGUCGAGUGGCAAACGGGUGAGUAACGCGUAGACAACCUGCCUUUGAGAUGGGGACAACAGUUCGAAAGGACUGCUAAUACCGAAUGUUGUAUAUUUUCCACAUGGAAGAUAUAUUAAAGAUGGCCUCUAUUUAUAAGCUAUCGCUCAAAGAUGGGUCUGCGUCUGAUUAGCUAGUUGGUGGGGUAACGGCCUACCAAGGCGACGAUCAGUAGCCGGUCUGAGAGGAUGAACGGCCACAGUGGGACUGAGACACGGCCCAGACUCCUACGGGAGGCAGCAGUGGGGAAUCUUCCACAAUGGACGAAAGUCUGAUGGAGCAACGCCGCGUGAGUGAAGAAGGGUUUCGGCUCGUAAAGCUCUGUUGUCGGGGACGAAUGUGCAGUAUUUGAAUAAAGUACUGCAAUGACGGUACCUGACGAGGAAGCCACGGCUAACUACGUGCCAGCCGCCGCCGUAA
rnacentral:rRNA from 1 species